UACCGCCCGUACCGUAAACCGACACAGGUAUGCGGGGAGAGAAUCCUAAGGUGCGCGGGAGAACCCUCGUUAAGGAACUCGGCAAAAUGUACCCGUAACUUCGGGAUAAGGGUAGCCACUGUUGUGAAGUCCCAUGCGGAUGGAGCAUAGAGUGGUCGCAGAGAAGAGGCCCAAGCGACUGUUUACCAUAAACACAGGUGCCUGCUAAAGCGAAAGCUGACGUAUAGGUGCUGACACCUGCCCAGUGCCGGAAGGUUAAGGAAGGAUGUUCGGAUUAGUCCAAAGCAUUCGACUGAAGCCCCGGUGAACGGCGGCCGUAACUAUAACGGUCCUAAGGUAGCGAAAUUCCUUGUCGGGUAAGUUCCGACCCGCACGAAAGGUGUAACGAUUUGGGCACUGUCUCAACGAGGGACCCGGUGAAAUUGAAAUACCUGUGAAGAUGCAGGUUACCCGCGACUGGACAGAAAGACCCCAUGGAGCUUUACUGUAACCUGACAUUGGGUUUUGAUACAUUACGUACAGGAUAGGUGGGAGGCUUGGAAAGCUGGACGCUAGUCUGGCUGGAGCCGACGUUGGGAUACCACCCUUGAUGUAUUGAAAUUCUAACCGCGAGAGUAACGAAAUCCGGGACAGUGUCAGGCGGGCAGUUUGACUGGGGCGGUCGCCUCCGAAAGAGUAACGGAGGCGCCCAAAGGUUCCCUCAGCGCGGCCGGAAAUCGCGCGAAGAGUGUAAAGGCAGAAGGGAGCUUGACUGCGAGUCAAACACGACGAGCAGGUACGAAAGUAGGGCUUAGUGAUCCGGUGGUACCGAGUGGAAGGGCCAUCGCUCAACGGAUAAAAGCUACCCUGGGGAUAACAGGCUAAUCUCUCCCAAGAGUCCAUAUCGACGGGGAGGUUUGGCACCUCGAUGUCGGCUCAUCACAUCCUGGGGCUGAAGUCGGUCCCAAGGGUUGGGCUGUUCGCCCAUUAAAGUGGUACGUGAGCUGGGUUCAGAACGUCGUGAGACAGUUCGGUCCCUAUCCAUCGCGGGCGCAAGAGAUUUGAAGGGGGCUGCUCCUAGUACGAGAGGACCGGAGUGGACGAACCGCUGGUGUACCAAUUAUCCCGCCAGGGGUACAGUUGGGUAGCUACGUUCGGAAAGGAUAAACGCUGAAAGCAUCUAAGCGUGAAACCAGCCUUAAGAUGAGAUCUCUCAUAGAGCAAUCUAGUAAGACACCUU
rnacentral:rRNA from 1 species